rnacentral:rRNA from 1 species
GACGAACGCUGGCGGUGUGCUUAACACAUGCGAGUCGAACGGUAAGGCCCUUUCGGGGGUACACGAGUGGCGAACGGGUGAGUAACACGUGAGUAACCUGCCCUCAUCUCUGGGAUAACAGUCGGAAACGGUUGCUAAUACUGGAUAUGAGCUUGCAAGGCAUCUUGUGGGUUGGAAAGAUUUUUUUUGGUUGGGGAUGGACUCGCGGCCUAUCAGCUUGUUGGUGAGGUAGUGGCUCACCAAGGCUUCGACGGGUAGCCGGCCUGAGAGGGCGACCGGCCACAUUGGGACUGAGAUACGGCCCAAACUCCUACGGGAGGCAGCAGUGGGGAAUAUUGCACAAUGGACGGAAGUCUGAUGCAGCAACGCCGCGUGCGGGAUGACGGCCUUCGGGUUGUAAACCGCUGUCAAUUGUGACGAAGCUUUUUUGUGACGGUAGCAGUAGAAGAAGCACCGGCUAACUACGUG